rnacentral:rRNA from 1 species
UAGGAGGCGAGCGUUGUCCGGAUUUACUGGGUGUAAAGGGCGUGCAGGCGGGGAUUGUAAGUCAUAUGUGAAAUUCCCCGGCUCAACUCUGAAAGUGCAUCUGAAACUGAUAUUCUUGAGUGCUGGAGAGGAAAGCGGAAUUCCUAGUGUAGCGGUGAAAUGCGUAGAUAUUAGGAAGAACACCAGUGGCGAAGGCGACUUUCUGGACCGGAACUGACGCUGAGACGCGAAAGCGUGGGGAGCAAACGGGAUUAGAUACCCUGGUAGUCCACGCUGUAAACGAUGGAUACUAGGUGUAGGAGGUAUCGACCUGCUUCUGUGCCGGAGUUAAGCUAUAUAUAUCCCACGUGGACUACACGCGCGCGAGGCUGACUCUCGGAGGAGUUGACGGGCCCCCGCACAAGCAGUGCAGUGAUGUGUUAUUAUUUCGAAUACACGCGAACAAUCUUAUGAGGUUGUUGACAUCCCUCGGAUAACAUAGAGAUAUGAUAGACCUUCGGGACGAGUAAACAGGGGUGGCAGGGUUGCCGCCACUCUCGGCCGAGAUAUUUGGGUUAAGUCCCGAAACGAGCGCAACCUCUAUUGUUAGUUGACAUCAUUAAGUUGACUGCUCUAACAACACUGCCGGAGACUGAUCAGACGAACGUGUCGACGAGGUCUAAUCAUCAUGCCCCUUAUGUCCUGUGCUAGACACGUACUACUGUGGCCACUACAAGGGGAAGCAAUACCGUCCGGAGGAGCAGAUCUCACAAGGUGACCUCAGUUCAGAUUGUGCGGUGAGACCCGCCCACAUGAAGUCGGAAUUGCUAGUAAUGGCAGGUCAGAAUACUGUCGUGAAUACUGUCCCGG